UACGUAGGGUGCGAGCGUUGUCCGGAAUUAUUGGGCGUAAAGAGCUUGUAGGCGGUUUGUCGCGUCUGCUGUGAAAAUCCGGGGCUCAACCCCGGACUUGCAGUGGGUACGGGCAGACUAGAGUGUGGUAGGGGAGACUGGAAUUCCUGGUGUAGCGGUGAAAUGCGCAGAUAUCAGGAGGAACACCGACGGCGAAGGCAGGUCUCUGGGCCACUACUGACGCUGAUAAGCGAAAGCAUGGGGAGCGAACAGGAUUAGAUACCCCUGUA
rnacentral:rRNA from 1 species